rnacentral:rRNA from 1 species
GACGAACGCUGGCGGCGUGCUUAACACAUGCAAGUCGAACGGAAAGGCCCUGCUUUUGUGGGGUGCUCGAGUGGCGAACGGGUGAGUAACACGUGAGUAAUCUGCCCUUGACUUUGGGAUAACUUCAGGAAACUGGGGCUAAUACCGGAUAGGAGCUCCUGCUGCAUAGUGGGGGUUGGAAAGUUUCGGCGGUUGGGGAUGGACUCGCGGCUUAUCAGCUUGUUGGUGGGGUAGUGGCUUACCAAGGCUUUGACGGGUAGCCGGCCUGAGAGGGUGACCGGCCACAUUGGGACUGAGAUACGGCCCAGACUCCUACGGGAGGCAGCAGUGGGGAAUAUUGCACAAUGGGCGGAAGCCUGAUGCAGCAACGCCGCGUGCGGGAUGACGGCCUUCGGGUUGUAAACCGCUUUCGCCUGUGACGAAGCGUGAGUGACGGUAAUGGGUAAAGAAGCACCGGCUAACUACGUG